GGAUGCAGCAGGCUGAGGACGUUGCAGAAAAGAAGGAGGAAGAAAUUUUCUGUGAGAAUCUUUGAAGCUUGAGGGCUGUGAUUUUUCUCCAGGAUGAAAGUUUAAGCCUGAAAAUGUGCAGAACAUUCUCCUAACAACCCAGUCCAGUAAAUGCUGCAUGAGAGCACCUGGAAGUCUGCACAGUUGGCACACAGAGCUGUGAUUCUCACCUGGGCUCCUUGGGAUGCUGCUCUGGGAAAGUUCCUUCCUCUUGCCGACCUCAGGUCAUCACACUUAAGGGGGAAGAGAUGAACAAAGACACCUUCAGAGGAGAGAAGCCAAAACCAGGUCCGACCACCACACCUGCCAGGGUUUUGUGUCUAGGGU
rnacentral:lncRNA from 1 species